ACUCUAUAUUGGCAAUGAUCAGGCGAACGCUUGUCUCUUCGGAGACAUCCGAUAAAAUUGGAACGAUACAGAGAAGAUUAGCAUGGCCCCUGCGCAAGGAUGACACGCACAAAUCGAGAAAUGGUCCAAAUUUUUUUUGUCAUUUGAUCUCUGGGCUCCGUGGUUCUUUGAUUUCUCUGUGUUUUUGUUCUAGGAAUGAUUUGUUUGCUCUGUGAUUACUUGGAUCUUUCUCCUUGUCUUUGUUUGACUUGUUUAUGGCUUUCAAUCAGGAGUUUGUUUCUGAUAGGGUCUCCUUUCCUUUGCGUAGGGUGGUUUUCGAUCGGGUUUAUCCUUCUGAUUCGAUCUCUGGGCUCCGUGGUUCUUUGAUUUCUCUGUGUUUUUGUUUCAGGAAUGAUUUGUUUGCUCUGUGAUUACUUGGAUCUUUCUCCUUGUCUUUGUUUGAUUUGUUUAUGGCUUUCAAUCAGGAGUUUGUUUCUGAUAGGGUCUCCUUUCCUUUGCGUAGGGUGGUUUUCGAUCGGGUUUAUCCUUCUGAUUCGAACUCUCUUGUUUGGUUUGUUUGAUACGUUUCAGGUUCUCACACCCGAAGAAUAUGUAUGGAUUCCAGGAACUCGCUCGUUAAAUUAGUUGGUUUUUCAUGCAUAAAUCUAGAUCUUGUCCAAUUUAUUCUCUCUCUUGCCCUGUCGGUUCUAUCUCUUCUUCGUUUUCAUUUUUAUUUGGUUUGAUUUGAUUAUGUCUCUCAAUCAGGUUCUUCUUUCUGAACCGUUCUCCUUUUUCUUUUCCAUCCCUUUAUGUUCUCAUUAGGUUUUUCCCCUGUGUUGUUCUUAAUAGGUUUCUCGUUCCUUAUUCGAUCUCUUUUGGUUCUUUUGUUUGGUUUGUUUAGAUCAUUUUCAAGUUCUGAAACCCUAAGAACAUGGAUGGAAUCUCAAAUUUGCUGUUAGUUGUCUAUUUACGUUGCAUUUUUUGCCUAACAGAAUGAAGAAGCUUAUCGAUUGUGGUGGCUGACGCUUUACUCUUCCAACUUAUUUGGCUUCUGGAUAUCACCUCCAUUUUUUAGUCUUUCUUUGCUCAACCAUGGACUAUAAAUAUUCAACACAAGAUAGAACUCUACUCUAAACUAGCCAUCCCCUUUCGAAUCACACACCAUUGUGCUGAAUUCAGCAGUGAAAAUAAAAUAUAUAUACUGAUCAAAUUCUGGGUAGUAAUGCACACAGUUCCAUUUAUCAUGAAUGCGUCCAAUAUAUAUUUAAUACAUGAAACACAUCAAUUGAUUCUUGUUAUUUGCCUUGGCCACUUGCACUUUUUCAUUCUAAUAUUAGGUGUUUCGGUAUUCGGAUUUUCUAGCAUAUGGGCAUCAUUGUUUAAUUUUAACUAGAUACGACCCUUCAGCAGCUGAGCAGUACUCACUUUCGAUUUGUUAUAACCUAAUACUAAAGUGUGUUGAAUUUCCUGCUUGUCUCGCUGCAUAUUUUUUGGCAAAUGUGUUUUGAUCUUGUAGUUUACUUACUAUGAAGAGACUGGGAUUUCUCCCACAAUAACAUGCUGGCAUGCGACUUGAACUUGAGAUGAUGCCUUUCUAUUGCUGUUGCAAUUACAGCUUUUAAUAAAUUCAAUUAGAGAAGCAACCUGGAAUGGGUCUAGAAGUAAGUUCUGCACUAAGGGAAAUGCUGGAGAAGAGGAAUGGACCAAGGUUGAUGAUGUGUAAACUCCAUUAGUGACAGUAAACCAACUACUUGCUUUACAUAAGUUGCUUGGAAAAAUGCAACUAAAUAUAAAUGUUCUGAAGUUCAUUAUGAUUAUUAGCAGUAGGUACCAGUUUGACAGAAUUAUUGAAAAUCAUGUCUGGACUUUUCUUUGUACAGAAUGUUGAACCUGCUACGCCGCAUUGCUUGCAUCAGUUUUCUCUCUAAUUAUAGACACUGACCAUGUGGAUAAGUAUAUUUUCGUGUAUUUUACAUGCAGUGAAAGCAUAUAUACGUGGCUUGCCUACUAAACCUUCUUGUUCACCAUGAAAACUGUUCUUGCAAUGUAACAAAGCAACAUUUGCUUUAGGUUAAGCUGUCAUUGUUUAUUUCCUGUGUUUAUCUAAUGGGACUGAAUGAAUACAGGUGGUUCUAAAUUAAGCUGUUCAUAAAUGUUCUUUCAUUAGUGCGUGAUGCAUUGUAAAGACAAUGAUUUUUAUUUGAAUAGCAAGAUUACUCGAUAACAUGUCCUCAUGUUCUUUCUGCUUUUGUAGCUGAGAAGAAAAAUAUAUUGGUCUUCACAGCCUGAUUCUAAGAUAUUAUUUAUUCUAUAUUUCAGAUUUACUUUUUUAUGUCUGAGAGAUUUUUGGUUUUGGUACUUUAUGACCGAGUCAUGGCUUUGCAACUGAUCUAUAAAAAUAUGAAUUGUGCAUUUUCAAAAAAGAAACUUAAUGGAGCAUGAUGUUUUGAAGUGUUAAUUUUUCUUGCCAGUUGAGUCCUAGGGUACAUUGGGGUAGCUGCCAUCCAUUCAUGAUCCUCGAUAGUGAAUAAUUUCCUUUACUAUCAGCAGAUUGUUCAUAGUUACCAAUAGGAUCACACUUGUUCUUUGCCUUUGUUUUGCCCAAUUAUUGUUGAGCAAACAAACCCCGGAAACAUGGAGUUGCUUCUCUUUGUCACUGACCUUAGGAAUUAUUCAGCAACAUGAACGACCCCAUAUCUAUUGCUUCACAUUCAUCCUCACCUGCGCUUCAUAUUAUAUAUUUAAUUUUGUGGAACUAAUUGGAUUCAUGUACUACAGAGUACCUUACGAAGAUCCUCUCACCAAUGUGAAGUAAAUGAGAAACAAGUAUAAAUUUGGGAAGGCGAUGCCAUUAUGAUCCCUUAUAAUAAUUCUCAUAUAGUUAUGGAAUAACCACAUUGGUAUUAAUUUCGAAGAAUCCAUAUACUCGAGAUGCCCAUCUCAUUUGUGUGUUUGAUAGUGAUGGAGUUUUGUGUCCUGCAGAGGACAAAAUAAAUGGAUGAAAUAGCUAAUGAGAAAAGAUGGAGCUAUUCACCAAAUAACCCAAGCAUUUGAAGUAGUAAAGCCUAUCGUGUUAGAUAUCUGUCUAAAUAGAUACUUGGAGUUCAUCUAUUAGUUCUUCAACUGGCAUUUUCAUUAACAAGAGGACUUGUGUCCCAUAUAUGCUCUCUCAUCCUGUUACUCCUCCAACACGAUUCUAUUAAAGAAUACGAAAUUCUUUGUGGACCGUGGAGGUGUUUGAAUGAAUGUUUAGAAAAAAGGGUGUAAUACAAGCUUGGUACAGUUCAUAUGACAUCUUUUACAUUAGCGUAUAGUGUUAGUAACACUAAAACAUUAUGGGUAAUUAAUAUGAAUAAUAUUCUUUUCUAAAGGAACAAUGCUAAAGUUGUGUUAUGUGAAAAUUUUAAAAAUUGGGCAAAUAUUGUGCUUCCCUAUUAUCAAGGUCAAUCACAAGGACAAAUAAAUGGGCAGGUUGGAAUCUAGAACUACAUUUCCUACUGUUAAUGGAGGAACAGAAUAUUAGAAUAAUAAACGCGAGGAAUAUUAGAUUUUGGGUAUUAACUUUCACUUGGCACAUCACUGGGCCAGACCUAAGAGACAUGCAAAGGCCGGUCACAAGUCAGGCUGGGCUAAACCAGGGUUUAAAGAUGGUGGCGGCCAGGAAAAUAAUCCCACUCACGAUCUAUUUGAUAACUUGCUCUACAUAGGAGUCGACAAGAUAUCAAAAUGUUUUCUUGGAAACAUCCAAUUGAAUUGAAACGAUAUAGAAAAUAUUUGCAUGGCUCCUGUUCGACACAAAUAUUUAGUUUCCCGCAUUUGAUCUUUCCUUGUUUUUGUUGUUUGAUUGUCACUCAGGUGUUUCCUUCUCUUGUUUUCUCUUUCUGGGUUGAUUUAUUUCUCUUCUUAUUUUGUUUGAUUUUGUUUGUAAUAUUUCUUUAUGAUCUGAUAUUUUUCUUUUGGCUUAAUUCGGUUGUGGUUCUCAAUCAGGCUCUUCUUUCUGAAUUGAUCCUCGUUUCAUCUUCCUUUUCUUUGGUUCUUAACAUGGACCUUUUCCCCUCUGUGGUUCUCAAAUCAUGGUUUUGGUUUGUUAUGAUCAUUUGCUGGUUCUGAAACCUUAAGAACAUGGAUGAAGCCCUGAAUUAUCUUGCUACUAUAUAUUAGUUAUCCUUGCAUGUAAAUGCACACCUGUAUACUUUAUUCUGCCUACACCAUGAAGAAGGUUGUCAGUUGUGGUGUUAGCUGCCAAUUGCACUAGUCUUUUCGUUCUAGCAUUAAAAAAAGGAAAGAGGAUCACAGAGUGUGAUAUGGCCUUUGUAGAAGAGGGAAAAGGGUGAAGAUUUAAGAAGACAGUGAUGUAGGACAUCCCUUCUCGAAGCCUUGUUUGUCUAUAUAUACAAGAAGAAUUCAGAGGUUGCAACUGAGAAAGAACCGAAAUAAGAUUCUAGAUUCUUGUGAACUAGAAACAUCUUAAAUAGUUGGUCGUCAAUUUUUAAGAAGGAAGGAGCACAUGGAUGGAGUUUGGCUUCAACAGUUGUCCUUCUAUUAGCAAUAAAUAUGCUGUCAGAAGUAAUGCCAUUCAUGAAUUACUUGUUCUUCUGUCUUUUUACUAACUUGCUACUAUAGUCACAACCUGUUUGGUUGCAUUCUUCAAAGGUAACUUUUUUAGCUCUAGCAUUUCAUUUAUCAGGGAAACGGACAAAGAAAAAAUGGAUAGUUGAUGCAAGCCGAGAUGAUUAGAUGAACAUAUAAACACAACUUGUACAGGUGUAACUUGAUCAUUUUCAGUUGAGCCCAAGUCCAAUUUGUAAACGGAUACAAAAUCUGCAAGUCUAAUUGGAAUCAGCUUGACAUCAGAUAUAUUCACAGAGACGAGUUUAGUUAUCUUACACAUUAAUGCAGUCACUCGUAGCAGGUUAUAUUAACCCAAGGUAUUGUCAUGUUUGAGAAUGUUUUUGGUUGAUUUAAUCAAAUCAAGUCCUUUUUUUUCAUUUUUUACUAUAUGUGGAAAGGUAAUUGGAUUAGAUCAGGUUUAGUUUUGUUAGUUGAAAUGUUUAGGUUUCUAAAAUUUGGAAAUUUAUUUGGAGUUGCUUGGUAAUUGGCAACUAUAUCUUCUCUGAGUACUUCCAUGCUUUACUUGCUUUUGAUUUUUUUUUUGACUGCUAUACUAAUUUGAAGUUCACACUCUCAUGUUUUUCACUUGUGCAUAAAACUCUGAUGAUAUCAUGUGGUUUGUUCUGGGCUUAUGAGAAGUUUGUCAGUAAAAACACAUAUGAGUUGAUACUGUUGAUGAGGUCUUCCUCUAAAGAAUGAGCUCUUGGUAUAUGUUGAAAUAUACAGACCUUUUCAUAAGUUAGUGCUGUUGCGAACAUGGAAGCAAAGAAAAGUUCUUCUCAUACUGUAUUAAAGCAGUAAUGGUUGCCCACAUGAGAUUCUCUGAGCAAGUACGUCAAUCUCAUUCCCUGUCUGCAUUCACUUUCUUUGUAUUGGUCGAGCAAGACAAACUUGGAAAGAGGAACUUGCAAUUUAAUUUCAUCCAUCAAUAGUUGCCUAUUCAUGCAAUAAUGUGGAAGCCUUGAUGCAAUAUGUUGAGUCAGAGUUAGCUGAUUGCUUGCACAUACUGGUUUCUGAUUCAAAUGCCUCCAAAAUGUGUUAUAGGACUUAAUAAUGUAUGGCGAUUAAUACACAUACAUAAAAAAUUGCAUACUUUGUCACAGGCUUUGUGAAAUCAAAUAGAUACUUGCAUGAAGUUGUGUAGCUGAGCAUGAUGGAUAAAAAGUUAUAGGAGAGAUGAGAAGAAGAAGAAGAAGAAGAAGAAGAAGAAGAAGAGAGGGUAGGAGAGAUGAGAAGAAAGAGAAGAAGAAGAGAGGGGUCGGAGAAGGAUAACAUGUCAUUAGGAUAACUUGUAAUUCCAUUAGAAGAACUCCACACACUUCCAUAUUAGAGAUUUCUCCUUUGUUUGUUACAUAAGAUAUUUUGAUCCCUAAGCCAGCUUAAAUACUUGAAGGGGAAGAAAAGCAUCAAAAUUUGGGUGUAGGUGAUCUUAGGUUGAUAAAUCAAUCACAUUCAAGGAUGAAAUUAGGAAAAUUUAGUAAGGAAUCACAAUUAUGGAUCCAAUUGAUCAUAUAAUGAUAUAGUGCAGAUUCACCAAUUUUAUGCAAUUAAAUCAUAAUUUCAUUAAACUGUGAUCAUCAAAUGGUUCAGACUAAAGUUGCCUUUGAUUAUAUUACUGUUCUGUGCAUGAUUUUUGUCCUAAUUAUGGGUAAUAAUUUAGGUCAAAAUUCGACAUGAUUAUAAGUAAUAAAACCUACAAUUAAAUUGGUUGGGCCAGUUUUGAAUUAAUUGGGUGUAAUCACAUAAUAUUAGGUUAGAGAUCAUAAUAAUAUGGCCAUUUUGGAAAAAUCCUGAAACUUUACAAUGCAUAUAUUGUUCACUAGCCAAUUGUCCAUCUACGACAGGAGCUGUCUGUCACUGAAACUGAAGAUUACAGCCAAUAACCCCUCUCACAGGUGAGAUUAUUCCACCAACUCUUAAAGAUCUCUUAAAGGUUGGGUUCUAAAGAAAUGAAAAGCAAAUUUAACUUGUGUUCAAGUUCCCAGAGCUGUAGUUUCUUAUGAAGCACAGAGGCAGAGAUGAGACUGGUACAGGGGAUAUUGAUGGUGACAUUUACUGCCCCCACCUCAAAUGCAAGAGAGAUUAUUGUCAGUCAUUAUAUGUUUACCUUUUGCAACCACCUGAUGAACUCCAUCAACCCUUUUCCUAUCCUACAUCCUCAUCUCUCCACCAUCUCCACCCUACUCCCUCCAGCCAUGCAUUAAACAGCCUUAACAUCAUCUAUCCAACUCCUUUAAAUCCCUCUUUAUGAGAGAGAAGGAAUCCGAGGUUUCUCAUCGACUGGGAGCUGAACUCCUCCUCCUCACCUCACCCCAUCCAACCCGGCAGUGGAGCUUGAUGGCUUGCAGCUGCCACAAGCCUCGUUACCAGAGGCUAAAUAAGCUUCCUCCAGAGACAGAAGAGGAUGAAAUCAGUGGCGGAUCCAAAGAGAUGGCGGUGGUGUUCAAGAGGAGGCGGCACAGCUGGCUGAGGCUGAACAGAAGUGGGAGGUGGCGAAAGCCGAGGGUCCGGGUGGCCGGGCUGAGGAAGUUCCUGAGUAAGGCCACCGUAGUGGGGGCUGCAGUGAGGGUGUCAGUGGCCAAGGUGCUCACGAGGUUGAAGGAGGGAAGGCCUUAUCUGGGGGAACUCUUUGCAGGUAACUACAUGUUCAUGCAAGUGAGCCCUUCACCAACCAUUCCGUACGUGGAGAAGCCAUUCUCGCUCGCUAAGCACCGGCACCGACAUCACCCACCGCCAUCACAUUUGAUGCUCUAAACGUUUGCUUCUAGUCUUUCUUCUAACCAGAGGUAUAAUAAAGGUCUUGUCUCGGUGCUGCUGCUCUGUUGCUUUUGUAUAAUAAUGAUGGGCUUGUCUCAGAGGUAAAGUUAUUGUGUCUCUGAUCUCAGCUAUCAUGUUUUAGCCAUCUAUGUUGUCCAAUUUUUGUUCUAUUAUGAGCAUGAUGAUUUAUUGUGA